CGCCCCUUGAAAAGGUUAAAUUACUAAUAAAUAAGGGGUACUGCCUGCCCAGUGACGUAGAAGUUAAACGGCCGCGGUAUUUUGACCGUGCAAAGGUAGCAUAAUCAUUUGCCUUUUAAAUGGAGGCUGGAAUGAAUGGCAAGACGGAAAUUUGACUGUCUCUUUCCUAAUUCCUCUGAAAUUAAUAUUCUAGUGAAGAAGCUAGAAUUUAAUCGUGGGACGAGAAGACCCUGUUGAGCUUUAGUGGCUAGGAUUAUCAUAAUUUUUUUGUUAGGAGCUAAUUUAAAGUGUUAGACCACUUGUUAUUAAAUUUACUUAAAAUAAAAAAAGUGUUGUAUUUUAUUCUACUUUGGUUGGGGCAACCGCGGAGAACAAAGACCCUCCGCUUUAAGAAGUAUAAAAGUACAGUUUUUACUAAUAAAGUUUUUGUAAAAAUGAUCCACUGUAAAGUGAUCAAAGGAAUAAGUUACCACAGGGAUAACAGCGUAAUUUUUUUGGAGAGUUCAUAUUGAUAAAAAAGUUUGCGACCUCGAUGUUGGAUCGAGACUUCCUGGAGGUGUAGAAGCUUCCAAGGGUUGGUCUGUUCGACCAUUAAAGUC
rnacentral:rRNA from 1 species